rnacentral:rRNA from 1 species
UACAGAGGUCUCAAGCGUUGUUCGGAAUCACUGGGCGUAAAGGGUGCGUAGGUGGCGUGGCAAGUCAGAUGUGAAAGCCCAGGGCUCAACCCUGGAAUUGCAUCCGAAACUGGCCGGCUUGAGUACGGAAGAGGGUCUCGGAAUUCCCGGUGUAGAGGUGAAAUUCGUAGAUAUCGGGAGGAACACCAGUGGCGAAGGCGGGUCUCUGGGCAGUAACUGACGCUGAGGAGCGAAAGCGUGGGGAGCGAACAGG